GUUCAAUCCAGUUCUUAUUCUGUCUUUGCUGGAGAGGUGAUACAGAACAUCUGAAGUGUUUUUGUUAAUACUUUUUACAUCAGAAGUCUAGAUGUGGAACAUUAAUGGCAGACAGAGCAUAAGAUUUAACUUUAUUUGUGGAGCUGCUGGAAUUUCUUCAUCUUCACAGUGUAACAGAGCUCAUACUAUCCCUCAGGGUAAUCCAUAAGAGCAUCUGUUGUGCAUAAAGAAAAUGCUGAAAUUAGUAGAAAAUUCAGUCUUCUGUGCUUUGGUUUGGAAAAGAGCCARUCACCACUUAGGAUGUGAGAAGAUACCUUGGGGAGACCAGUUCACAGGUGAAGGCAGGAGAGGACUGUAAUCCUCCACUGGAGUAUCCUGCAAAGAAAAGAUGAUGCAACUAAUUUUAAAGAUUCCUGAUAGGAGCAGCCUUAUCAUGGAUGAUUUAUUGCAAACAUCUGAUUGCUGCAGGAUUUGAGAGAUCCCACCACAGAURUCAGAAGGAGCAAUCCUGGGUUCUAUCACAGGAGCCCCUUAAAUGCUGCGGUCCUAAUCCACAGCUGGUACAGCGGGCUGCUGCUGCUGCGGGGGGAAGGGGUUAUGACAGCAGUGCAAGAACCCYGUGUGCUCAUCCUGCUUUCCUGCUCUGAGAUCCCACCCAGCAGUGCCAAUCAAAGGAGUUUCUGCUGCCAACCUGACCACAAGCGUGGCUAUCACACUAAGACAUCAGAUGCAAAAUUGUCAGUUCCUGUUACAUUCUCUGGAGUGUCAGUGUACUCUUGCAGUAACCAGGAGUGAAAGGGGGCAUCCAUGGAUCUACUACACCUCUGCUCCAUCCCCCUGUAAUAAGAAGCAUUCUAACACUGUGGAGAGCUGCUGCCUCUCUUUUCUGUUUGCUCAGCUAAGUAGUGGCUUUUAGCACGUAUAUCAAACUGAGCAAACAAAAGCACACGGUCAGAUGUAAAGCUACAAGGAAUGACAAAGAAUGACAGGAAGAUUUUUCAUUCUGACCUAUGAGACACUCAUGGCCUUUUGGAAGAUCUAACCAGGUGAACACUGUGUUGUUAUCUGGGACUGUGAUCUUGCACCAAAAAUCCCACAGAGGAACCAUAAAAUUUCCAAAAWAAUGAUGGUGCUUCUUUAGAAAUGAUGGAUCACACCACUGAAAUGGAGUGGGAAGGAGCAGAUUAAUAAAUUCUCAUUCGUGUUUACUUARGGUUUUUCCUGAUCAGAUUUUGAGCCAUAUUUUCUGACAGAGAUAUGUCAACUUCCUUUUUCUAUGGCACUACUGACCUCAUCCUGAGUGAUGUAUAGCAGCUCUACUUCUUACUUCUCCAUGAUUGAAACGUAAAACUUCACACUGAAAAUCUGUGCCUUGUAAUAGCUGUGUGGAAUGCUUUACCAAACUGUCAGCAGGAAAUGUAGAUAUUAACUCUGUAAUUACCAAAGUAGUGCGAUGCAUUGACUAUAAUAUGUAUUUUAAGUGUGAUCAGAUUUUUUUCCUAUUUUCUAAGUGGGGUUUCCUGAAUUCCUUAGAAGGCCUAAAAUAAAUAGAAAAAAAAAUGGGAACUGGGACAAUUUCUCUCUUCAAACUAAUUUCAAUGCAUUAAACACUCUUCACUAUGAAAGGGACUAUUAUACAGCCCAAAGUUCAAACAACUGAGUUCUUUCAUUCAAAUGAUGCUCUGUAUCAUGCUGAAAUCAUUACAGGGCUUGGUCACUGCAAGUCACAUCCUUAAUAGGUGGCAAAAAUAACCACAUUAAACAGGGAUAUUUUGUCUAGACUCAUUUAUCUCUUUCCAGACUUCCUAACUUCUUAAAAAUCUUAUUAAACACUAGAUUUAAUGUACUUAGCCUAAUUGCUCUCUCCAAAACAUUAAAGAAUGUCUGUUACAGAUAAAAGAGAACACAUYAACUUUUCUCAUAUUUUUCCCCACUUUUUCUACUAUGAUUUUUUCUAGCUUCUUAAUUGAAAGAAAUCUCUUAUUUUGAAUUCUAUUGCAAUUUUUAACAAAAUAAUCKGAAAUAUAUAAUUUCAUUUCUGGUGAUUCACAACUCUGUCAUCUCAUUUUCAAAACUUUCUCACCAUUUAUAUUUUAAUAUGAAAGCUUGUCAUGUAUUUGCUUGAUUGUCUAUCAUGGCUUGAAGAAUCCCUUAUUCUUAAUYUUGUAUCUGAAUUAGCUUUGAUAGCUGAUCUUGAAUAACUAAACAAUAUAAUUUUUUUUUUUUUUCAGUUAGUUGCUUGCAGUUGGGCAUAGGGCAGCCUGGAUAUUGCGGUGUGCUUUUUUGGUAAAACGUAUUUGUGCUAGUCUGCCUGGCAAGGAGUGAAGAAGGUCUGUGGCUCUGCUCUGGCUUGUUAUGCAGGUGAGAGYUUUUCCAAGGUUCACCAACAGGCAGUUUGGGAGCCUGGAAAUCUCCUGCUGCAGGGCCAGGAGUGAGAAAACCCUUGGUGGCCAGGGGUGAGCACUCCAGUAAGAUAUAAUUUAGCAGRGGUAAGCCUAGUAGCUGGCAAAUGCCUAAUUAAGCUCAAUGCCUGGAAGCUGCAGACAGGGAAAUUAAUGUUGGGAUUAUAGUGUCAUAAGAUCACAGGAUAAUUCAGACUGGAAAGGUGCUCAGGAGGUCACCUGUCCAACCUCCUACUGAAAGCAGAAUCAACUCUGAUCUCAGACCAGGUUGCUCAGGGUUUUAUCCAGUCGAGUCUAAAACACCUGCAUGGAUGGAAAGCACAGAUUCCUYAGGGAAUUUGCUUCAAUUUUGAUCUCGUAGGGAAAAAGUUGCUCCUGUAUCCAGUAAGAACCUUUAAUGACAGAGACACAUUUAUAUUGUGGAUGGCUAUUUGGAUAGAUAUGUCACAGGAAUUGGGGAAUUCCACWUCUAUUGUUAUCUUCAUGACUGGAUAAUUUUCUGGGAAACUUGUUUUAUAUCAAAGAUAAGAUUAUAUUUUCUGAAUGUACACCUGUUCCUUGUGGCUUUAAUCUAACAAAUACAUACCUAGUUGGAGGAUUUGAAUGAGGUACUUUUGACAAUUAAGGAAUAGCURUUUCUUUAAAAUAGUGAUUUUUAAUCUCAAUUAAAAUUACUAAAAUUAUAGUAAAGGAAUUUACAGGCACUGUAAACCUGGUUUAAGUAUUUGUUGCCUUUUCUAAUCUUUCUAUGACUUUUGAGCUUCAAUACUUCUGAGACAUUUCUACGGCAUUUAAUUGUCAAGUGACUUGGAAAAGAACAAGAAUAUUCUCAGAAACAUUUGAAUAACUUAGUCUGUACUUUUACARAGCCAUUAGAAAACCUGUUGAUUUAAAACAAUAAAACAAAGAAGCAACAGACUGUUGUCUUUUACUUGAUAGCAAGACACAACACAUAUGCUUCAAAAUGCUUCAAAAAUGCUUCAAAAUCUUUAUUUGCUGAGUGAUGCAAUUCACUGAUACACUGAUUAUCAGACUAAUGGUUCAUGCUGGGAAUAGGGUCACAGAGGUGUUUUUGAGGCUUUUCUGUAAUUUUUCUUUGCUGUUGCUGUCAUAAUAACAUGCAGUAGGUGACUGCAUAYUCAGAGAAAGGGCCUAUUCCUGGGACACACUGUUGUAAUGAUGCAUUUAGGCUAUUUUGUACUGCUUGCUACCCUCAGGSUUCUGAGAGGUUCCCUCUUGAAUGAGAAAUGUAGCAAGAUCAAAUUCAAAGCAGAUGCUUCUAGUCCAUUCUGUACCAACGCCCAAACCRGGAAUGCAAUGACACAUCAUGGACUGAACUCAGUUUCACACCACACGUUCAGUGGUGGUCAAUUAAAGCAUGUAUACUUUGGAUUAUCCAAACUAUAAAUGGUUUAUUUCUGAUUACCUUCUUUAACUUUGGACUAUACAA